AGCUUGAAUUUGAACGCGAAGAACCUUACCUAAGCUUGACAUCCUUUUGACCGAUGCCUAAUCGCAUCUUUCCCUUCGGGGACAGAAGUGACAGGUGGUGCAUGGUUGUCGUCAGCUCGUGUCGUGAGAUGUUGGGUUAAGUCCCGCAACGAGCGCAACCCUUGCCUUUAGUUGCCAGCAUUAAGUUGGGCACUCUAGAGGGACUGCCAGGGAUAACCUGGAGGAAGGUGGGGAUGACGUCAAAUCAUCAUGCCCCUUAUGACUAGGGCUACACACGUGCUACAAUGGGUGGUACUGCGGCAGCCAAGUCGUGAGGCGGAGCUAAUCCCUUAAAGCGAGCUCAUUUCGGAUUGUAGGCUGAAACUCGCCUAGAGAAGCUGGAGUUACUAGUAAUCGCAGAU
rnacentral:rRNA from 1 species